UACAGAGGGGGCAAGCGUUGUUCGGAAUUACUGGGCGUAAAGGGCGCGUAGGCGGCCUGUUAAGUCGAACGUGAAAUCCCUGGGCUCAACCCAGGAACUGCGUCCGAUACUGGCAGGCUUGAAUUCGGGAGAGGGAUGCGGAAUUCCAGGUGUAGCGGUGAAAUGCGUAGAUAUCUGGAGGAACACCGGUGGCGAAGGCGGCAUCCUGGACCGAUAUUGACGCUGAGGCGCGAAGGCCAGGGGAGCAAACGGG
rnacentral:rRNA from 1 species